rnacentral:misc_RNA from 1 species
AACACUGGUUGUUUUAGAGGAAGGGUGCAGACUACUGAUGUUGACACAAAAAUUGGGAUUUUUUUUUAAAAAUUAGUGUUGUGUAUAUUGUUGCUUGUAUCAUAUGUUUUAUUUUUGAUUAUUUUAUUAUCAUUAUUAUUAUUAUUAAAGUCAAGUUGGUGGGGUUUUGGCUUUAAUUGAAAGGGGAAACUAUAUGAUAAAUAUUGCACGUGGUCACUUAACUUUACGAGUAUUUUCAUAAAAUUACAAACGGU